rnacentral:rRNA from 1 species
GGACCCGCACAAGCGGUGGAGCAUGUGGUUUAAUUCGAUGCAACGCGAAAAAACCUUACCUACACUUGACAUACUUCGAAUUUUCUAGAGAUAGAUUAGUGCCUUCGGGAGCGAAGAUACAGGUGCUGCAUGGCUGUCGUCAGCUCGUGUCGUGAGAUGUUGGGUUAAGUCCUAUAACGAGCGCAACCCUUACCCUUAUUUGCCAGCGGUUAGGCCGGGAACUAUAAGGGAACUGCCGGUAAUAAGCCGGAGGAAGGUGGGGACGACGUCAAGUCAUCAUGGCCCUUACGUGUAGGGCUACACACGUGCUACAAUGGGAGAUACAGACGGUUGCUAAAGCGCGAGCUG